rnacentral:rRNA from 1 species
UACGGAGGGUGCAAGCGUUAAUCGGAUUUACUGGGCGUAAAGCGUGCGUAGGUGGUUUGUUAAGUCAGUUGUGAAAUCCCAGGGCUCAACCUUGGAAUUGCAUCUGAUACUGGCAGACUAGAGAUCGGUAGAGGUUAGUGGAAUUCCAGGUGUAGGCGGUAGAAAAUGCGU